GCCCCUGUAGCGCAAUCGGUAGCUCAUUGGACUUCUAAUCCAUAGAUCGUGGGUUCGAACCUCACCUGGGGUG